UAUCUACAGCUGGCCAGACCUCUCUCUGUUACUGACUAAACUAUACAUACCUAUCUACCUACAUUCACACAUUUCGUAAUUGAAAAAAUCUCAGUUGUUUAUUUUCGAUGAAGCAAAAGUUAACUUUUUAUUAUGUUAUGUCUGACUGGUCUUUUUUUAUCUAUGAUUAUACAUACACAUGCUUGGCCAUGUUACUCAAAAACUCCAGUUUGCGGCAUCGAUGGACAUACUUACAGGAAUAUAUGUGAAUUUAAUACGGCCAAGUUAAUGGACAAAGAUUUAGAAAUACUGUACGAGGGAUCUUGUUUAAUGAGGCUUAUGUAUAAAACCAAUAAUCAAGAUAACAAUAGCUCUAAAGAAACGAUAAAACUUGCACACCAUCGAGUAGGCCCUAAAGAGAUAAAAUGUAUCCUGCAUCCAUCUUCAGGACUUCAGGAUGUCAGUUAUCUCUAUGUCAAAUAACAUCUUGAUUGAUUCACCGGUUGAGCCGUGAUAAGUUAACAGACAGACACUUUCGCAUUCAUAAUAUUAGUAUGGAUGUG